rnacentral:rRNA from 1 species
CCCUUAGAUGUCCUGGGCCGCACGCGUGCUACACUGACACUUACACCGAGUUUUUCCGGCCCCGAGAGGUGGCUGGUAAUCAGUAAUAGGUGUCGUGAUGGGGAUAGAUCUUUGGAAUUAUUGAUCUUGAACGAGGAAUGCCUAGUAAUCGUAGGUCAUCAGCCUGCGAUGAUUACGUCCCUGCCCUUUGUACACACCGCCCGUCGCUCCUACCGAUUGAAUGCUCAGGUGAGCCAUUCGGACUUUCAUCAUGCUGGUUUCCAGUUUUGAUGAAGGAAAGUCUUGCGAACCUUAUCAUUUAGAGGAAGGAGAAGUCGUAACA